rnacentral:pre_miRNA from 1 species
AGCCUUCUGUAUUCGAGCUGAGAUUUCGUCAGAAAUGAACCCGUUGGGGCUGAUAGUACUUCCCAAAUAAUUGAAGCC